GACGGAUCAGUCUGUUCAGGUCAGCUGAGAAAGGAAAGAGCUCAGUGUUCAGAGGUUCAGAGAAGUGACAGGACUGGCGAGGACAGAGGGCGGAGACAGGCAGACCCUGGACAUGUUUCUGUGCCCGCUGGCCUUCCUUGGCUUCAUCUAACUAACAAGAAGCCCUCUGCAGAGCCUGCUACGUGGGGCCCGGUGGCACAUGGAAGAGAUGGGCUUUCAGGGGCAGUCAUUUGGCCCACUCAGAUGAGCCCCACUAGCAGGUCUCGAGUGCUGUCCUCUCCACCAAGAUCACAGGAGUCGAUGGUGAGCACCCACUUCCCCAGCCCCAUCUCCUGCCUGUCCUGUAGGGCAACUGUCCAAAGACAGGGCUGUGGACCAUGCCUGGGUGUUCACCCAUCGUACUCCAUCUCAUGUCUACCCGUAGUAGUCAUUACCUGCCCUCAAACAUUCCGCCUGAGGCUGCCAGUUCUUGUAGGAAGUGGCCCCGGUGCCAGGCCAACAGCUUUCCUAGGCUUCAGAACACCGAGAUGAUUUCGGGCCAUCACUGAUCUUCACCCACCAGAGAAGUUUUUCACCAGGGGCUUUUCCUGACGUCAAAGUAACAGCCAGGUUAAGGGAACCCCUGGCCUGGGGGUGUCCCCCUGCCCACCCCCUGCAGCCCACAGCCCACCUGUCCUGCCUGCUGACAGGUCUCCUCCCACUCCUCCCGGCCUUGUUUGCACUGGAAAGUUGGGGUGCAUCGGCUGUGCACCUGAAUGUGUUAUUUGCUUCUGCUUAAAGAUCAUAAAGUCAGUAAAUUGUUUAAAAUAUAACUCAUUUGAGGGUCUAGCUCCUGCAAAGUCUGUUUGUCUUCUUUCAAAGCAUGCCUUAACUCAGCCCCUUCCUUUAUAAAACAGUCCAGCUCCAUAGAAAUUUUAAACAAACUGUCUCUCUCCUCUGGGCUUGGACUCAGCCCCCUCCCGGUCACAGGCCUGCCUGGAAGAAGCAGGUUGGGCCCUCUCAGCCGCUUCUGUUUAUAUCUGGGCCCAUUAUCAUGAAGGGCACUUUUAUUUGAGGAGUUGAGUAUUACAUUAGCAUUAUAAAACAAAUUGUUUUUCCAUUGCUUGAGAGCCAGGGAGAAUAAACCUGGACGGGCCAUGGCCUCCUAUUUAAAUAAACUAACGUCAUCCUGGGUACCAAGGAGCCUGAUUCGCCCCCCUGUUCCCCGCUUGGGCCGAGUUGUCCUCCCGGCCGCCUCUUUGGUCCCCUGGCCUCUGGGGCUCAGUGGGCUGUUCCCAGGGAAGCCUUCACCCUCUCUCCACCAGGGCUGUACAGUGACCCCGAGUCCAAUGGCAGAAAGGAUGGGGCUCAUCACAGGGCCCAGGACCCCAAAGGUUACAAAGCACCCACCCCUCCCCAUCUGACCCUCACCACCCCCAGCCGCACGCUUGGGCCUCCCUCCUCCUGUGCCUCCGGGACCGUCUCCCCACCUGCGGGAGGCCAGGUGUGUGGCUCCAGAGACCCUCCACCUGAACUACCCGCUCCCAGAGCCCCAGUCAGGGCCGCCAGAGGUCGCGGAGGGUGAAGCCAAUGGGCCUGGACGCCGAGGCCGGGGAGAGGAAGGAGCGAGGUAAUGGCUGUGGCUGGAGACCCUCUUCUGACUCCCCAGGCUGCCGGGUAGGCCUACUGUGGGAUGGGACUCAGGCGACCAGACGUGCUCUCCGUCGCCUCCAUCCCGGCCGCUGACUCCGCUGUGUCCCCUUGGAUCCAUCACCACCUCCAGGCAGCCCUCCAGCGGGUUCUGGUGGCGCCGAGAGCUUCGAGGGGACUCAACGCGCUUUGUAGGGCCUGUGAAAUCCGGCUUGUCGCAUAAGCUCCCUGAAGAAGAGAACAAACUUCCCAGACCAGGGGCCCGCGGGGAGCGGUGCAGACACCGCGGCAACCCACCCCGAGCCCGCCGGCCCUCGCUCCGUGCGCCCAAGGGGCGUCCCCCGAGGUGUCGCCUGCAAGGCAGCCGCGGUCUCGGUGUGACCAACUAAGCAGACACUCAGCGGCAGCGCCGCGCUUGGGGAGACUGCAGGGCAGAAAUGGGCCUAGAGGUGAAGGAGCCCUUCCCAAAUCGGACAGUCCCGGGGCUGGAGAGCCGGGAGCAACCCAGUUCCCUGAAGAAAUGAUUGCAGCUGCUCAGGCAAAACACGGUCUCCAGCACUGGGAAGGCGACAGCGGCGACAGUGCACCGUCCCCCUUGCACGCACUGAGGAGCCUGUCUUGGAGCUGAGACCUCCUCGCCCCCUCCGAGCUUACUGAGCACCCGGCCGGCAGCCCCCCGACUCCCCAGGAUGCUGCCUUGACCCCACCUAAUCUGGUCACUCACCUCCUAACCUUUCAGGGUCCAAGAGGACCCGCGUCCUGCCCCACCUUGCUGGGUGCAGAGCCGGGUGCACGCGGGACCCGCACUCGCUCUGGGCGAACACGCAGCGCCCUUCCCGGCCUCAGGCCGAGCCGGACCGCAACGCCGCUAUUAGUAAGGACUAAAAACAAAAGUUCUCCCCGAAGCCCACCUUUCCCCAGUAAGAAGGUGUCAAGGGUUAAACCGUUCGAUUUGCCCUUUUUCUUGAUCUUAGAGGGAAGAGGCAAGAACUCCUGGCACCUUUAUGGGCCUCAGACCUGUGGCUGCUGCCAGCAGUCUCAGUCCCACUAACUUUGAUCAGCCUUAUUAAUUCCAGCUGUGCUCUAUUUGUUUGUCAUUUUCCCCUUUUCCUCUGGAAUCAUUAUUUAUAGCAGGAAAAAAAAAAGCCCACUGUUAGAAUGGAGGCAAGGAGGGAAUUUCUGAGAACGACUGGGUGAAUGUAUUUUUCCUUAAAGGUCACCAAAAAGGAGGAGAGGUGUAGGGGUGAGUCUUGACUCUUAUGAGCUCUUCUUUGAAUUUAUUACUCAAGAGCAUUAACUAAUUACCAGAUCAGAUAAAUGAAAAAAAAAUUCCCUAAAAUAACCCAAGGUAAUUAUAACCGUGCUGUUGACACUAACGAUUAAUAAUUGAUCAGGAGUCACACACAAUAAAUUGUCAAUUUAUCUCCCCACAAAAAUGCGAGUGCUUGUGUAGCAUUGUGUUUUGUUUCUUCCCUCUGGGUAUUUUCUGUGAAUAUCGAGUCCGUAUUGGAGGCAGCCCCAAACCUCAUAGUCAAUUCUUUAAGAAUAUUACAUUUCAUUUAUUUACAGCUCCAUAUAGAACAAAGUAACAUUAGAACACCUUUUAAAAAUACUUUUAUUAUCAUGGGGCCAGAGUUAAACAAACAAAAAAAAUUCUUCCUCUUUCCUUUUAUCUGGGAUUGCGCAAAUACGGACAACAGAUAUUUCCUUUCUUCAUUGUAUUAGCAAUACAGUCCUCUUAAAUUGUGUCUUCAAUUAUUAUCUUUCUUAGAAAGAGAGAGAACACUCUGCCUUCACGGUAGGAAACACAAGACUAUUCUCUGUUCCAAGGGUGGAGGGGACAGAGGUGCCGGUUGAGGCCACAUCCAUCUGUUUCUAGGGAUGCAGCUGAAGGGAGAGGCUGAUGCAUACAAGUGGGGUGUCUGCUUCCUAAAACUGGGGCUCAAAGUGUUUUCUCUUCCACCCAUCAAUGGCUGAGGUCCAAGUGCAUAUUGUUGAAAACCAGAUUCGUAGCAUUCUAGCCCAAGCAAAGGGGAGGGCUAGUGAGUGCUUUCAUUAUGGCCAAUAGAUAGUAAUUUUCAGCAACUGGAAAAUUAUAUUGUCAUAGAUUACUUCUCCUUAUAAUUAGCCUUUAAAAUAUCUGUAGGGAUUUGUCACUUGCAUAAAGGUUUGAAAAUACAUCAAAGGGACAUGUCCCCCUUGCGAUUUGUAGAAAUUCAAAUGAUGUUAAUCAUAAUAUCCACAUAGCACAGACGGUUGUGUAUUGUUCCCAAGAUAGCCUCUUCGGUUAACGCUUUCAAAAAAAUAGUUAAAAUGUUAUGUUUGUAAAAGCAGUUUAAAACAUAUUUAUUAUAUCUAUUUAUAUUUUAAUUUUGAGUCUAAAUGAAUGUUUUCCUUGGGAUUCUCAAGGUACUGGGCAACUAAAGAAAAAUUAUAUAGUGAUAAUUAUUGUAUAUUGUUACUUGGAUGAAACUUUCUCAUAAUUCACUUCAGAGUGUUAUUGAAAUUUGAAAAUGCCUCUGAGUGGACCACAAAUUUGUUUGGAACAAUUUUUUUUUCCAAAUUGAUGUCUGUUUAAUUAGGCUGUAACAGUGGUAGUUUAGUAUGUACAUUCACUCCGUAGUUAAAAAACAAAGGGUCCACUUUACUUUUAGCCUCCUUGAUAUGUACUUAAAUGCAAUUGUAAAUGAUCCGAAAACGCGCACGGGCUUCGGAGGUGGCUAUUUCAUCUUUGUGUUUCUUCGCAGUGGUUCUCGCCUCCCAGAAUCCGCAGAGAUCUAAUAAACACAUAAGUUAAAGAGAGCCUCAGGGGAACCCCGAGCCCUCUCCCACCACUCUCCCAACUCCAGAAUGAGAUCCGCGGCGGCCCGGCGAGGGGGUUCUGGGGAGGCGCACCCCAGGCUGGCUACCCUGAGCCCAGGCCCAAGGCUGCCCCUCUAGGCCCCAGCACCCAGCCCCCUUCCUCUCUCCGCUCCCCGCCCCUCCUUCCUCGCAUCAGACAAAGGUGGAUGAAGUUCUUUUCAAGUUUCAAAGGCAGUUGCUGGGCAGCUUUGCAGAAACAAUAACUCUUUUAUUGGGAACAAAUGUUGACAUUUGACGGGCGCGGGAGGCAGCGCCCGCGCCGGCCGCCGGGCAAGCGCCCCGGUGCUCUCGGCAGCCCCCGGCCCCCGGGGCCCACCUGAGAUUAAAGCGCGAAUUCCGAUAAAUCAGCUCUAAGGAAACCCUGGGCCGCGGAGAGCAGAAGGGCUGUCGCGGAUCCACCACGCGGGCGCCGGGCCGCGGAGCCGGGAGCGCGCCCAGGCCUGCACCCGCAGCAAAGCCAAGGCCACCGCCCCAAAGCCCAUCUGCUCCUGGUCGCCCCGUUUUGCCGACGUCUCCCCGGCCUCAGUCAACAACAGCAAACUUCUAUCUUGGAGGGCUAGCAAUUGUGACACCUACCUGUGGACCAAGGAAAAAACCAAAUCAUCCCCAAUCUUUCAGUUCCACAACAA
rnacentral:lncRNA from 1 species